ACUCAAAGGAAUUGACGGGGGCCCGCACAAGCGGUGGAGCAUGUGGUUCAAUUCGACGCAACGCGAAGAACCUUACCCAGGCUUGAACUGCCAGUGACAUCCGGCGAAAGCCGGCUCCCGCAAGGGCACUGGUAGAGGUGCUGCAUGGCUGUCGUCAGCUCGUGUCGUGAGAUGUUGGGUUAAGUCCCGCAACGAGCGCAACCCUUGUCCUCUGUUGCCAUCAGGUUAUGCUGGGCACUCUGAGGAGACUGCCGGUGAUAAACCGGAGGAAGGUGGGGAUGACGUCAAGUCAGCAUGGCCUUUAUGUCUGGGGCUACACACGUGCUACAAUGGCAGAUACAAACCGUCGCGAUGCCGCAAGGUGGAGCUAAUCGGAGAAAGUCUGUCUCAGUUCGGAUUGCAGGCUGCAACUCGCCUGCAUGAAGUUGGAAUCGCUAGUAAUCGCGGAUCAGCACGCCGCGGUGAAUACGUUCCCGGGCCUUGUACACACCGCCCGU
rnacentral:rRNA from 1 species